rnacentral:rRNA from 1 species
AACGAACGCUGGCGGCAUGCCUAACACAUGCGAGUCGAACGAGACCUUCGGGUCUAGUGGCGCACGGGUGCGUAACGCGUGGGAACCUGCCCUUAGGUUCGGAAUAACUCCCCGAAAGGGGUGCUAAUACCGGAUAAUGUCUUCGGACCAGAGAUUUAUCGCCUUUGGAUGGGCCCGCGUUGGAUUAGCUAGUUGGUAGGGUAAAAGCCUACCAAGGCGACGAUCCAUAGCUGGUCUGAGAGGAUGAUCAGCCACACUGGGACUGAGACACGGCCCAGACUCCUACGGGAGGCAGCAGUGGGGAAUAUUGGACAAUGGGCGAAAGCCUGAUCCAGCAAUGCCGCGUGAGUGAUGAAGGCCUUAGGGUUGUAAAGCUCUUUUACCCGGGAUGAUAAUGACAGUACCGGGAGAAUAAGCUCCGGCUAACUCCGUG